AUUGAACGCUGGCGGCAGGCUUAACACAUGCAAGUCGAGCGGAGAGAGGUAGCUUGCUACUGAUCUUAGCGGCGGACGGGUGAGUAAUGCUUAGGAAUCUGCCUAUUAGUGGGGGACAACAUUUCGAAAGGAAUGCUAAUACCGCAUACGUCCUACGGGAGAAAGCAGGGGCUCUUCGGACCUUGCGCUAAUAGAUGAGCCUAAGUGGGAUUAGCGAGGUGGUGGGGUAAAGGCCUACCAAGGCGACGAUCUGUAGCGGGUCUGAGAGGAAGAACCGCCACAAUGGGACCGGGACACGGGCCAGGAUCCCACAGGAGGCAGCAGGGGGGAAUUUUGGAAAAUGGGCGCAAGCCUGAUCCAGCCAUGCCGCGUGUGUGAAGAAGGCCUUAUGGUUGGAAAGCACUUUAAGCGAGGAGGAGGCUACUUUAGUUAAUACCUAGAGAUAGUGGGCGUUACUCGCAGAAUAAGCACCGGCUAACUCUGUGCCAGCCGCCGCCGUAACAC
rnacentral:rRNA from 1 species